rnacentral:rRNA from 1 species
UACGAAGGGGGCUAGCGUUGCUCGGAAUUACUGGGCGUAAAGCGCACGUAGGCGGCUUCUUAAGUCGGUGGUGAAAUCCUGGAGCUCAACUCCAGAACUGCCUUCGAUACUGGGAAGCUCGAGUCCGGGAGAGGUGAGUGGAACUGCGAGUGUAGAGGUGAAAUUCGUAGAUAUCUGGAGGAACACCGGUGGCGAAAGCGGCUCACUGGACCAUAACUGACGCUGAGGUGCGAAAGCUAGGGUAGCAAACGGG